rnacentral:rRNA from 1 species
UACGUAGGUGGCAAGCGUUGUCCGGAUUUAUUGGGUUUAAAGGGUGCGUAGGCGGCCCUGUAAGUCAGUGGUGAAAUACUCCAGCUUAACUGGAGGGGUGCCAUUGAUACUGCAGGGCUUGAGUGGAGUAGAAGUAGGCGGAAUUGACGGUGUAGCGGUGAAAUGCUUAGAUAUCGUCAAGAACACCGAUAGUGAAGACAGCUUACUAUGCUUCAACUGACGCUGAGGCACGAAAGUGUGGGGAUCAAACAGG